AGUUAAAAUUUGACCAUCUUAUGAACAAGUAUUUGAUAACUGCAAUGAUAAGAUCAACGAUGAGUUGAAUGAAGUUCUCCAAUGCUCUGUUCCAGGGAAAAGUCUUGACUGGCUGAGGAGAACUGUCCCAUAUUUUUCUAGCCUUGUUCAUAAGAUGGUCAAAUUUUAACUUCUCAGGUUCACCUGGUUGUCCGGCAGCCAUAUUUAUUGCACUGGGGAGAUAUUAAGCCUAGCUUUCUGAGAGACCCCAUUGGGUUUAACACUAAAAAUUUUGCUGCACGCAUCAAAAAAUUGAGAUGACCCCUUAUGCCUGUGAAUGGAAGGAGAAUGAACUCUGAGAGCCAUAUUAGUGGAGGUUUGGAGAUGAAGGGAUGGAGAUAACAAGUACGAGAGAUAUGGAGUUGCCAUUUCCAAGGGAUGAUAGGGAUGACGCUAGUUCAUAGCUGGGAACCCAAAUGCCGUUUUAAAUUGACGAAAGAUAAGAUCUUCAAU
rnacentral:misc_RNA from 1 species